AGGAAGUUUAUUCAGUUACAGUAUAGUUUCCAUGGAAGCCACAGGCCAUCUCAGAUUUGACCUCGCUUGCUCCUUUAGUCCCGCCAACACUUGCUAAAUCCAGUCAAGUUGCUUUUGAUAGCGAAUUAAGGAGGGCAUAGAGGCUCGUUCAGAGUGGACUGUUCUUCAAGGUUCUUUUUCCAGCUAAAAAACACCUUCCAGAAAAGAAAGACAUUACUUGCAUUCUUCCAUUCCUCACUAAAGGCCCAUCUGAAGGCCACCUGUGCCAAGAAACACUAAGACACUGUGCUCGCUAAGCAGGGGGGAUCUGAUGCUGUGGCAGUUCCGCCUCAAGGUCAGAAUCAUCCGGGUAGAGGCCAGAGCUUAAACCCAUCUGUAUGUGUGUCCCAAUCAAAACAAAAAAGCAAAACAGGUCUUUCUGGACGUGACCCAGAGUCCCUAGGGUCAGGUCCUCGUUUGCAGAGGGAGCCUGAGGGCCAGCUCGGUCAGAUGCCCCAUGUCUGGUUGCCUGCUUCGCUUCUUGAUCGCCUCACCAUGGUCCUGGUGUCGGCACAGCCAUGCCUCUGUGCCAGGUGCCAGAGGUUGACGGAGAGCUGGUUGAGCCUGUUGUUGCGCAGGUCGCCGUGGGCCAAGAUGCUGUUAAAGAAGGAAAGGCCCAGAGAGCUCUGGCGCUUCAGGGCCUGAAACAGAAGACAGAGGUUACUCCCUGGGACUGAGGCCCGGCCCAGGGUUGACGAUGCCCAGAGGUUCCAGGGCCAACCCUACCACCGAUCUGGAGGGCGAGCUGCUUCACCUCCCUGAGCGCCAGCUUCUUCCUCUGCAGGAUGGUCAAGGCUACAGGACCUCGCAGGGCAAGUGAGUCUGGAUGAGAUGACCCAGGUGAAGCCCCUUGCUCUGUUCCUCCCGCUUGGGCAUCACUGGGGUGGACGCAGAAGCAAGGGAGGCUUUCGUGAGACCCAACGGUCAGUGGGCUCAAGAACCAGCAGAGAUGGGCCUUCUGGCUUUAACGCCAGAACGAGGGAAAACUCCAGGGUCAAAUAUGUCUCAGAUGGGUCCUGAAGCCACCCGAAGUGUCCGUCACUUUCCCACCCCCUUGGGGGCGGGUAAUGAAGACCAAAGAUGGCACCCAGGAACAGCUCUCCAAUGCCUGGUGCCCACGCCCAGCUUUUCUAAGAGUCAUUCUGUACUUUUUUUUGGCUUUUUAGGGCUGCACCUGUGGCAUAUGGAGGUUCCCAGGCUAGGGGUCCCGUCAGAGCUACAGCUGUUGGCCUACACCACAGCCACAGCCACAGCCACGUGGGAUCGGAGCUGCAUCUGCGACCGACCACAGCUCAUCAACGCCAGAUGCUUAAGCCACUGAGCCGUUCUGUGUUCUUAACACCAGCUCCUUCCUCUCUGGCUCAAUGGUCUGAUGGGAAAAGUACGCAAAGAAAGUGGAACCCAAGUGUCAGAGGUGGACCAGACCUGAGCCCAGCUUGAAUGAUAAAGACAGAAAGACACACAAUCUCCAAAAUGCAGCAGGCCCAGGGGAAGGGAUACUGCCUCCUGAAGGUAAACAGCACCUGGAUGACCCAGGUCAGAUCACUUGGCUGCGUGGGCCCUGGCUGGGUACCCUUGGCUGGCACCGUGAACACCAGUGCUGGCAGGAGCCCGAGUGUCUGCUUUGCUCCUUGGCAGCUAGUGGGUGUGGAGCCACUCGUAGCAGUGUGCCGGGAGUGAGCUCUGUGCUUCACACAACUCUUUGAUGUUCACAACUCUGUGGGUCGGCAGGAUCCCCAACCCCUGCUUUUUCAAACCCUAACUAGGGGCUACCGGGAAGGGACACCGCAGGUGUAAUGAAGGGGAAGGACCCCACGGAGACCAUCCUGGAUGAUCUGGGUGGGCCCAGUCUGGUCCCUUGAGCCCUAAAGAGCAGAGGGAUGUCUUGAGCUGGAGCCAGAGAGAAGUAGCAGAAGACAAAAGCAGAGGGAAGACGAGGCAGAAGGUCAGACCACAGAGAUUCAAGCUAGGGAAAGACAUGACCCACCAUGGCUGGCUUUCAAGAUGGAAGAAGGGGGCCGAGAGCCAAGAAAUGCAGGUGGCUUCUAGAAGCUGAGAACGGCCCCCAGCCAACAGCCAGCAAGGAAACAGGACCUCAGCCCUACCCCACAGGGAACUGAAGCCUGCCAACUCCAGUGAGCUGGCAAAUGGAUUCUUCCCGGGGCCUCCAGUAAGAGCCCAGCCAGGGAGUUCCCAUUGUGGCUCAGCAGGUUAUGAAUCCGACUGGUAUCCAUGAGGACAUGGGUUUGAUCCCUGACCUCGCUCUGUGGGUUAAGCGUGAGCCGUGAACUUUGCCGUGAGCUGUGGUGUAGGUUGCAGAUGCCGCUUGGAUCUGGUGUUGCUGUGACUGUGGUAUAGACCGGCAGCUGCAGCUCCGAUUUGAUCCCUAGCCUGGGAACAUCCAUAUGCUGCAGGUACGGUCCUAAAAAGCAAAAACAAAACAAAAACCCAGCCGGCUAACACCUUGAUUCUGGCCGUGUGAAACCCAGAGCAGAGAAAUCUUCUGUUCUACCAAACCAUGAUAAGUGCAGGUCGUUUUAAGUCGGUGGUGAUUUCAAGCCCCAGUAGGAAAGCAAUACACUUCCAUUUUGCAGACGAGGCCCUGGAAGGUCAGAAAGCUCCAGGAACUUGCUCAGGCCCCGCCGCUGGCAAGUGCAGACUGAGGUCGCCCAGUUCUGGAGCCUGUGCCAGUACCUGCACCCCUCCCCCACGUCCUGCCCCGGUUCCUAAGAUGUUCCCACAGGCCCCUGGUUAGCAGGGAUCCAGAUUCCGAAGAGGCCAAGAGAUCUGCCCAGAGCAGCUACCCAGUUUCAUCCAGGGAAGCGGGAAUGCUUUCACAUGGUCCAGACCAGUACGUACUGGUUCCUGCUUUUUCUCCACCAGCCCAGGAACCGUCCAGCUGUCCUUCCAUGUGUGCAGCCCAGAGAGUGGCAGGCCCUGUGCUACCCACUGAGCCAAUUACUCCUGCUGCCCUUGCCUAAGGGGAGCUAAGUCUCUGGAGGAAACACCAGCACAGUGAACUGCCGGGGAGCAAUUAGGAAUGCCACCAGGGGAGGGUGGCUGAGCCGCAGGGGAGGGACUGAGCCUACCUUGGCAACAGCCUGGACCAGAUGAUAUCACAAACGGCUGAGCCGACAGAGCAGCACUGCCUUCAAGGCGUGGGCGUCCCGCUGUCCCAUCCUGAGCCUGCAGGCCAGGGAGGGGGGGGGCGACACCCACCUGGCACGGAUCACCAGCUGGUUGGCAGCUGCCCGCUUUGGGCCCCUCUGUUUAACCAGUGAGCUCUGGCCUGCUCAGGAGCCUGGGCUCGUCCAGAGGGUCGCAGCCCAUACCCCUCGCCUUUCACCCCGGCCCUUGUCUGACGCCUGGGGAACAGGAAGACCCUGUUUUCUGCUCCGAUCUCCAGGCCCAGCUAACAGAAGGCUCUCGGAUCCAACCACAGAGUCUCCCCGGGGGAGGCCCUUUAACUACAUUUCACGGAAGCAGAAGAGAAUUUUUAAAAGUCCAUUCUGUAUCUUCUCAAGCAUUUUGGCUUUUCUAAAAACCCAGUUCACAGCUGCUUUAUUUUUAAAUUUUUUUUAUUUGCUUUUUAGGGCUGUACCCGAGGCACAUGGAAGUUCCCAGGCCAGGGGGCGAAUCAAAGCUACAGCUGCUGGUCUACACCACAGGCACAGUAACUCUGAGCCACAUCUGUGACCUACACCACAGCUCACGGCAAUGCCAGAUCCUUUUCCCACUGAGCGAGGCCAGGGAUCAAACCCACAUCCUCAUGGAUCCUAGUCGGGUUUGUUACCGCUGCGCCACAACGGGAACUCCUCACAUCUGUUUUAAAUGCACAGCCCGUUAAAAAUGAGAUUAUUAGGGACAGGAGGGGGGAUGAGGAAGGAAGAAUGCCGGCCGACAUGCAAAGAGCCAGGAAACUAAGAGCACACUGUAAAAGACCCCGAGUCAGGGCCUCAAGCCCCCUCCAAUCCGCACCGAGGUUUUAAUCAGCUUCUUUUGAAUCUUUCCCGAUGAGAACCAUCAUGUCCAGGAAGCUGGGAGGGUCUGGCUCGGGUCCCAGCCUCACCACACCCAAACAGACGGCUUCCCAAAGGAUCCCAGCAGGGCUGCUUCCUUCACGGGGACCGAGGGGACCCGGUGGAAGCAGGCUGCCAUUGGCACUGAGAGACGGGGCCUGGGCACAGGGGGUUCACAGCGCCAGCCUCGUCCCCCGGGCAGGGGACAGCGGUCUGAGGACUCGCCCCCCCACCCCAGGGUCGCCUGCAUGCAGCCCCACAGCACGUUGUCAGGAGGAAGGAUGACACGUUCCACCUCAGGUCGGUCCACCCACGCUUCUCCUGAUCAAUGUGCACAUACGGACAGACGUGUUCAGGGAGCACCCUGGUAUUUAUGUGAGUUGAAAUGUCUCGGCAACAUGCCAGCCUUGCUCUUCUUUCAGAAUUAUUUUGGAGUCAUUAUCACCAUCAACGCCUCCUCCCCCAAGAGAAAAAGAGACAUUAAAAUCGUUCCAAAUUAUAUGGUUCUGGCUCGCUUUUUCUGGUGAGCCCGGGGGCCCUAGGCUUCGGUCGUUCAUGCUGUCAGCUGUCACCUCUGAGGAGACCCAGCCUGUGGCAUGAGUGUGAAGAAAGGCUUUUCAAGCCACGUGGUGUGCUUCAUGGGCACAGCAUGUCAAACUUGAAGCAGCCCUGCUCUAAGAGGCCCGGGGAAGGAGCUGGAGCCAGAGCCCCCGGUUGCAAGGAUCAGGGGGGGCGCCGAGGAUUCUGGAGAGCGUGGGCUAUUAUUUCCUCAACAGGCACUGGUGGAGCACCCACUACAGCCAGGCUCUGAGGUAUGGAUGCUGGGGUGAGCGACAGAUGGAUCCCAGAGACCCACAUCUUGAGGUCCCCACCGCAGGGAGCUUAUAUUCUGGUGGGGGAGGCAGGCCACCGACACGUGAACACACAGCGUUUCAGAGAGUGACCGAGUGUCCCAGGAACAGUACAGAGAGACCCAGGAGGACGGCGGCGACUUGGGACGGGGGUCGGGGAAAGCCACUCUGAGGAGGAACUUGAGCUGAGACCUGAAGGAUGAGAGGGGCGGCCAGGAGAAGCUGGGAGGCAGAGAAAACAGCAGGAGCAAAGGCCCUGGGGCCCUCAGUGAAUGGUCUGCACACAGACCCAGUACUCACAGGACAAACCAACGUCCAAGCGCCCUGGGAACUGGCCAGGUGGCCGGGGGCACCUACCUCAUCCUUGGCCAGGGUCUUGAGAUGCUCCAGGAUCUGCGCCAUCACCGUCUCGCACAGUUUGUUGUUUUCAGCCAGAAACUUGGAGUCUCCCCCGUAGAGGCUGUCGUUGGAGUCGACUGAUGGAAGAAACCAGAGCAGUGAGACAAGGCCAAAGCCAAGGCCAGGGAGGGGCAGCCAUGGCACUUGGUGUCAGCAGAUGGCAGGAAAUCACGGCAGGGCCGAUGGAAAUGGCCAGAAUUUCCCACCGGGCUUGGGGCCUCGGAAAUCACAGAGAAAACGCUUAGCCUUCUGGACAGUCUGAGCCAGAGACCAGGGGAAGCCUCCUCCUUCCAGCCCAGGCCCGUGGUGACCAACCGAACAGCUGCCAAUCCUGAGCCCUGGUGGACAGGCACCGGCCCAGCGCUUCACACGUGCCAGUGCCGAGUCCCAACGACCAGCAUGCACCAGAGGUGAUGGGGACGCUGAGGCCUGAGCCCAUCCUAGCCAGGAUCCCAAACUGGGUGGCAUGUUUCAAAGCUGAAGCUGUUAAGCGCUACCUCUGGCUGCCUGCCCUGUCCCUCCUCCUGAAAACUGCCACGGAUAGGAGUUUCCUGGUGGCCUAGUGGUUAGGAUUCAGUGCUUUCACUGCUGCAGCACCGAUGGAAUGGAAGGUUCCACUGUCUUCUAAUCCUGAAUCCUCUCACCCCAUAGGCCUCCUUCCACUCUGCUUGGUCAUGUCCUGUGACAGCCGCUGUCUAGAGAAGGACCAGCCGCGAGAAUAGCCCGAGUUUGACCUCCUGCCCUCCUUCCUUCCUGUCGACAUUUGGAUGAAGCAUGACCUGUGGGUGAGGGAGGGGAGCGACUCCACGAGGUGCUCUUGUGCACUUUGUGGUUUUCACUUAGUGAUUCUUGGAGCUGCUUCCACAUCAGCACAUACGGAUCUGCUGCUCUGCUGUGUGAGCUGAGCGGUGCUCCACUGCGUGACGGACCAGAACAGGUGUGGUCGGUCCCUCCUGGGAACACUUUGGUGGUUCUCUCUUUGUGUGUGUGUGUGUGGACAGGGCUACUGCAAAUCCUGCCUUCUAUAAUGAAACCACAAUC
ensembl:lncRNA